UACAGAGGUCCCAAGCGUUUGUUCGGAUUCAUUGGGCGUAAAGGGUGCGUAGGCGGCGCGGUAAGUCGGGUGUGAAAUCUCGGAGCUUAACUCCGAAACUGCAUUCGAUACUGCCGUGCUUGAGGACUGGAGAGGAGACUGGAAUUUACGGUGUAGCGGUGAAAUGCGUAGAUAAUCGUAAGGAAGACCAGUGGCGAAGGCGGGUCUCUGGACAGUUCCUGACGCUGAGGCACGAAGGUCAGGGGAGCAAACGGG
rnacentral:rRNA from 1 species